CAGACUUCAACCCACAACCCACUUAGGAAGGGAAUCUCUGGAGAGUGGCGACUGCUGGAUGAGGCUGUCCUCCCAGAAGUGAACACAGAAGGAAUUCCAAUCCAUUAUGUCAACAGCCCAACUGGCAACAACACUUUCUGCUACCAGGCAACACUCAAUAGGUGGUCUUGGGAAAAGGGGUUAAGGAGAGAGCACUAGGAGCAUUUCUCCAUGACCACAGACUGCCAGGAUGAAAUAUGUUCAUGCAGACAUGGGAAGGAACAACAUAUUCCUCAACUUCCAAACUCAUAAGGUAAAGCAAAAAUCUAUCUUAUUACCUGCCUGAAAAGUUACUUUUAGGUUUUGAUUCACAUUAAGACAAGUUCUAAAAUGGGUAGACAAGAACGAAUGCGUAUGCUAAUACAAGGCUGUAUAACUGAGGGGAUCUUACAGGCAAGCCUGGAUGGCCUGGGUAUCCAGAUGGGCCCGUUGUACCUCUUGACCCCCUAGGUCCCUGGAAAAGAUUGAAAAAGGUCUUUUUGUGAACACAGAAAGAACUUGCCCUUUUCCACACAAACACAGCCCCUCUAAAGCACCUUGGACUCAGCCUACUGGCCACUGGAUUCCACCCACAGCCCAAAGCUUACACCAUGCCUGCAAUCUCCCUGUGAUUAGAGCAGCCCAGCACCAGCUUCUGGGUAAUGCUGGACAAGGCACAGUUCUAAGCUGUUAAUGCACUGAGAGUUAACUUUAUCAGCAGUUGUGCUGUACUGCAGGGACUUGUUACAAUUCAUCAGUGAAUGCCUUUUUGAAGGGUAUAACAAGAGGAACCCAAAGGCAUCAAGAAUGUGAUUCAGCAACAAAAUUAAACUCUCUCUUCUUCUUUCAUGUUCUUAUGGCUGAAAUAUCAUAUAGUGCUACUUAUUCUUGGGAGACCCAUCAGAUACUGCAGAAGAAGUUUUCACAUCUUGAAUUUCACAGAGAAAAUACUCUGUGAAUACCAGGGCAACAGCUGCUCUACACACAGCUAAUGCAGGUGAGGGGGGUCUGUUUCUACUCCCUUUAAGCCAACAUGAACUAGCCAUGGGAACAGACUAUACAGACUUGAUGUUUCUGAGACUUUAUUCUGGAAUUUUGCUAUUUAAGGCAGGCAGAGAGAAACCCCAAUAUUUCUUACCAUAGAAAGGAGAAAAAAUGGAAGACCUUGAAGACAAAAAGCAGUUACAAAACCCACUGACUGUACUUACAGGCAUGCCAGGGGGUCCAGGAUCACCUCUCUCUCCCUGUAAUGACAGUCAUUGGCAAAUGAACCAGUUCAAACUUUCUUGGGGGUAUUUUUUAACUUUACAGAUUCUAAGAUCAUAAAGUAGCUGUUAGAGUUGUAUAUGUGUUUUUAAAUUUUUUUCCACUAAGUUUUAUAGCUAGUGAGGUGUAAUGGAACAAUGACAUUUACCAUACAUGUUUUCCUACAAAUAGAUGAUUUUUUUCACAAUCAGAUACUUACCGGAAGUCCUUUUCCAAAAUGUAAAAUAUACACUGAAUUUCCUUUUUCUCCUUUUUGC